rnacentral:tRNA from 1 species
AUUUAUAUAAUAUAAAUUCAUUAUAUUUGACUUCCAAUCAAAAAAUCUAACUAUUUAGUAUAAAUA